rnacentral:rRNA from 1 species
CUUCCUACGGGAGGCAGCAGUGGGGAAUAUUGGGCAAUGGACGCAAGUCUGACCCAGCAACGCCGCGUGAAGGAAGAAGGCUUUCGGGUUGUAAACUUCUUUUAAGGGGGAAGAGUAGAAGACGGUACCCCUUGAAUAAGCCACGGCUAACUACGUGCCAGCAGCCGCAGUAAUACGUAGGUGGCAAGCGUUGUCCGGUUUUACUGGGUGUAAAGGGCGUGCAGCCGGAGAGACAAGUCAGAUGUGACAUCCAC